rnacentral:rRNA from 1 species
GAUGAACGCUGGCGGCGUGCCUAAUACAUGCAAGUCGAGCGAACAGAUGAGGAGCUUGCUCCUCUGACGUUAGCGGCGGACGGGUGAGUAACACGUGGAUAACCUACCUAUAAGACUGGGAUAACUUCGGGAAACCGGAGCUAAUACCGGAUAAUAUAUUGAACCGCAUGGUUCAAUAGUGAAAGACGGUUUUGCUGUCACUUAUAGAUGGAUCCGCGCCGCAUUAGCUAGUUGGUAAGGUAACGGCUUACCAAGGCAACGAUGCGUAGCCGACCUGAGAGGGUGAUCGGCCACACUGGAACUGAGACACGGUCCAGACUCCUACGGGAGGCAGCAGUAGGGAAUCUUCCGCAAUGGGCGAAAGCCUGACGGAGCAACGCCGCGUGAGUGAUGAAGGUCUUCGGAUCGUAAAACUCUGUUAUUAGGGAAGAACAAAUGUGUAAGUCACUAUGCACGUCUUGACGGUACCUAAUCAGAAGGCCACGGCUAACUACGUG